UUAUAUAUCCACGUGUCACUGAAAUGUUUUUAAUAAUGUCUGUUUUGCAGUAUUCUUACUUAAAUUAAAAGAUAUAAAAACUGUGAAAUAGGAUAAAUUAGAGAUUAAUUAUUAUUUAUUUCUCCUGAUUUAUAGGGAUGUAUUAGCCAAGAACAUGGGGGGUAAAUAAGGGAUUUGAUCUGAUUUUAUUUUUUCCCUUUAUAACUGAUACAUGUACACUGUAUAUAUUACACAUAUUGCUAUGAGAUACUUGACUAUUUUGAUCCAAAAAGCCUACAUGGUAUCAAAGCCAGAUUUUGCCUGGCACCUGUAAGCUAGUUAUUGUAGACACGUUUGAAGCGCAAAAUGGGAUUAGCCUUGAUUGUAAUAGGGACUUGUGUGUACCACACCGUUUGAAGCCUGAAAAUUGGGCUGGCCCUAAAAAAAAAAACAAUGGAACUUGGUGUUUGGGGCGUUUUUGAUAUGUAAAGCUUGUGGACUCAUACUUGAGGGGGAGAUUGUUAGGGUUAUCUUAUUCAAAUGUGAAUGGACAUAAGACGAUGUGGGAAGUCUCACAUCGGAUAAAGUUGGACUUAUUAACUAAUAUAUAAUAAAGAGGAAGGAUCCAUAAACUUGACCCUUGAGGUUUUGAGUUAAGAUACGACGUCUUUCCAUUGUUCUUGCCUUUCUCUCCUCUUUUCCUGUUCCUAAGCAGUCGCUCCUCAUUCCUAGCAAGUGGCAUCAGAGCUCAGCAAUUCUAACCUGGAUGACUUAGAACGCAACGCUCAACGUGAGGAAAGAGCAAAGUCUAGCAACCCCAAAACCUCUUCUAUAGGUCUCGGCGCUGAGAUUCCUCCAUUGCACACCCAAGGUGGAGCUCCCCACGGGUUGAGCUUUGCCAUCGAUAGGUCUUCUGUUCUGAUUGUGUCCGAAAAGUUCAAUGGGCAAAAUUACCAUGAAUGGGCCUAGGUGAUUAAACUCGCUGUCACAGGUUGUGGUGUGUUAGGCUUCAUCACCGGUACCUUUAUUGCUCUAGACAGGUCUAACGUUAAGGUCAUGUUGAAGUGGGAGACUGAAAAUGCGAUGGUGGCUUCAUGGUUGAUCAUAGCCAUGCCCUCACAAGUUCAAUGCUCAUUUAUGUUCUUACCGAUGGUGAAAGAUGUCUAGGAUGUUGUUUGAGAAUCAUAUUCGGAUGGUGAGGAUGGUGCUAGAAUAUAUGAUCUGAAGACAAGAAGUUCGCAGAUCAAACAAGGUGAUCGUGAUCUCACAGAGUUCUGGUUGGAACUCGUUGCAAUGUGGCAGGAGAUUGAUCUCAACAUAGAAGAGAAGUGGUGUUAUCCUUGUGAUGCUGCAAGGUACAAAAAACAUGUUGAGGAUGAGUGGGUGUUUCAAUUUUUGGCUGGUCUUCAUUAGUCAUUAGAUGAUGUUCGCAGCAGAAUCUUAGCUCGCUCUCCAUUACCCUUAACUCGUGAUGCCUUUAUUGAAGUUCGUAGAGAAGCUUCUUGUCGAAAGGUGAUGCUUAAUGACUCUCCUUUAGUUUCUUCUUCCUCUGAAUCUUCUACUUUGGCAAGUAAAAGUCUUGAUGAUGGAUUGAAGUAGACAAAAGGGAAGGUGUCAUGUGAUCACUAUAAGAAAGCUGGAAAUGCAAAGCACAAGUGUUGGGAUCUCCUUGGGAAGCCUACUGACUGGAAACCAUGCACAGGAAAGGCAUGUGGGUACCAAGCUACUCCUGACAAUACCUCAGACAAACCUAGUUCUAUGGCCACUAUCGAUGGAGACCAAUUAACUAAGCUCUUAGAGAUGUUAAAUAAUCUACAAUGAUCAAAAGCUUCAUCUUAGACUAUACAUAAUGCUUCUGUGGCUAAGUAAGGAUUUAUCAUUGGGGACGAUGAUUGGCAGUACUAAAGAAUGUGACAGGCUCUUCUACCUUGAUGAAUCAACCAUGAUUAAUCUUUGGUCUCGAAUUCGGUGCAAUCUUGUGUCCACUUCUGAGAAUAAUGAUAUUUUGUUAUGGCAUAAAAGAAUGGGUCAUCCCAAUGUCCAGAAUUUGAGUCAUUUGUUUCCUCAAUUUUCAUCAAAUAAAAUUUCUAGUUUUCAUUGCAA